CAGGAUGACUUCCUCCACUCGGUCGCUGGGGACAAGAAUGACUGCAAUGGAUAGCUAGUCUGUCGUGGAGCUCGGUGAAAAGAGGAGCGCCAUUGGUUCAACCUACGUGGGACAAGCAGGGCAUGUCGGCAUCGUAUGGCCGGUGGCACUGUCUCACUCGUGGCGUGCUAGAGUAGUGGAUGGGUGCAGAAAAUUGGUGGAGAGUUUCCUCACUGCCUGCAUUGCCCCAGCUCGAGGAGGAGGUCCAGCUUGCUUGGCCGAGAAAGAGCGAGUAGCUGCUCCUGCUUGCCAGCCUGCCGCCACCAUGGCUGACACACAUGAGUUCCGGUGCCGCAUACUCGCGUGAAAACUACAAAGUUUGUACAUAGACCAAAGCAUGGCAGCAAAGGACAUAAGGUGUGAUCCGGCGCCAGCCACCAAAGCCUGUGAGGCUGCGACACAUAAUUCAGCUUCAUGUUUUGAUGUUGCUACAAGCACAGCCAAAGUAGUGGAUGGGUGCGGCAAAUUGGUGGAGAAGUUUCCUCAUUGCCUGCGUUGCUGCUUGCACAGCCUUGGCGCGCUAGGAGGUGGCUCAUCUCAUCGACUCGAGAAGGAGCUUGCACCUUCCACCUAGGAAGUCCCAUGCGAGCUACAUUAACAUGCACGUGCGCAGCUUGGCGGGCAUCCUGGCUGAAGCGCCUGGUGUUAAGGAGUCCAAGGAGCACCGCGACCAACCAAAGGGGCAAGCAUGAAAGAACCGAGAUGUGCAAGGCGGAGUCACUCAUCUGCUUGAUCUUGUUACGCAUGUGAAAUUAUCAGUGUGGGUUUCCCUGCAUUUUGUGAUGCGGGAGGGGGCACCUUAAUCCUUUGUCCAUGAAAGCAUGAGGUAAGUUGCAGUCUGUUGCCUCCAAUGCAUUGAAGAAGAGGUGAGAAGUGAAUGAGCUAUUUUCAGAGAUAGCUUCCUUCUUGUUCUGAUAAGUAUGCCUUGAUUUCUAUUUCUAUUUUUGUUGAUAGCAGAGAUGGUUUCUCAUUUCUAUGCUUUUUGUUUGGAUAUUUAGGUACUUGAAUUAUGUUUUAGAUUACUUGACUAGUUUGUCACUGUUUAUUUUGGCAGCCAAAAUAUUUGAUCACUUUCUUUCUCAGUAAAUGUCUUGUAUUUUUUUCUUUCUUUGGACUAGAUCUUAUAGGUUCCAUUAACUAUGACUUAUGUUUGAUUUCAUCCUCUCUCUCUCUGGCAAUUGCUGAAACUCGUGAGGUUUUCGUUUCCAGUAACUAUGGAUUAGGUUUGAUUCCACCUGGCUUUCUAGUUAUUGUUUGUGUUGAAUCAUGCCAUGAUGCGUUUUACACAACAAAUGAACCUCUUUGGAUGGCCCCUCUUUUUCUGCUACUACAACAGAAAUAUUGUGCACCGGAACUAUCCUUGAUAUAUGUUUAUGGGUACAAGUUUCAUUUAUUUCUUCUGACACGUUUUUCUGCAAGUUGCAAGAUAUUCACUUCUUCCAGAUUGUGAUGUACUUGAAUCUGAACUUAUUAUGUGUAAGUUUUCUGCUACUUGUGAUUGUUGUUCCGACGGAAUAAUUCUUCUUUUGUUCUGUUUUUGCUGGAAUGUGAGUUGUGGUCUACUCACUUGAUUUCCUAUAUAAAUAUUGUUUUAUACUAGAACGAUGUCCUUUGUCACAUUUUGGUUAGAGUUCUUCACUCUAAGUGAUUAGAGGAUUCACUAAAUCCUUCAAUCGCUCUGCGGGCAAUUUUCUGAAUAUUAGGGUGUGAGCAUGUGCCUGUUUGCUUCGUGAUGAGUUUGCUAUGGCAUAAACAACAAUUUGUUAGCUAUGCUAUAAACUGAAGUAGACCUAGUACUAGACUAGCAACCUGGCCUUACCUUUAGCUUCUCUUCUAUUGUUCUGCCAAUCUGAAUUUUGGUGAAUGGUUUCAGUUAGACGAAGUGCUCUAGUUGGUCCUUGUAUAUUGCGAUCUUUGACUUGUAAACUGGACUGAUUGGUCCAUAAUUUCGUGGUACUGUCCAAAUAUAAGUUAUAGAUUAUGUUUCAGCCUUUCCAUAGAGUACCAUUUUUGCGCAUAUUGGUUGGACAUAUUACAAACAACGGAGUAUCUUUCAUAGAGUAAUUUUGUGUAUUUACAAUACACAUGUAAACCUGUGUUUCAUUUGCCCUGUUAGUUUGCAUCACAUCUUGUUGGUGGCCAAACAUUUUGAGCGAUGCUCCUGGCAUGUCCAUGUCGCAGUUCCAAAUGUGGGAGUAUAUCCAAUCUAUGGGAGCAAUAGGGCAGCUGAGGUGUGAAAACAGCUAGGUAAAGCUGGAUAGGAAUGCAUGUUGGAAACUUUGGUUUCUUUGGGGCCAUCAGUUUUUACUUUGAAGUAGAGCUUGUUUACUCGGCUGUUUUCUCAUUAAAUGAGGCAAAUAAUAUUGAGGCGAGAAGACUUUCCACAGAUGUGUUGAUAAUGUUAGUCCGAUGAAUGGAGUUUAAUUAUCCUGUGUGGUUUCUUGUAGGUUUCAUCCAUCAACAUGCCACACAUAGAAGAAGCUAGCUGUAGAAGACAUGUCCUCCUACAUCUACUGAGCUGUAGUGGUUUUCGGUGGUGAGCUGCGAGCGGACUAGGGAGGAGCCAUCAUAUUUGUUGAUAUGUGUCUGAGGACCUGCUGGCUGUCGUUCAUCUGCUUGAGAAGUGAGAUAAAACGAGUGUGCAUUACUGCUGCACGGUGUGUAUCUAGUGAAACAACUAUCAACUUGCGUAAAUCAGUGUGUUUUCUGGUCGGUGUGCUCGAGAGUUCCGGUGGCGACCAGUUGAUCCACUAGAUGUAUUUUUUAUUGUAUUUAUACCCACACAAGUAUAAGAAUUGAAGAUCAACCUGUGUAUAACCUUCAGAGAUAAAAAAAAAA